UACGUAGGGUGCAAGCGUUGUCCGGAAUUAUUGGGCGUAAAGAGCUCGUAGGCGGUCAGUCGCGUCUGCUGUGAAAACUCGGGGCUUAACUCCGGGCCUGCAGUGGGUACGGGCUGACUAGAGUGCGGUAGGGGAGACUGGAAUUCCUGGUGUAGCGGUGAAAUGCGCAGAUAUCAGGAGGAACACCGGUGGCGAAGGCGGCAUCCUGGACCGGUAUUGACGCUGAGGCGCGAAAGCCAGGGGAGCAAACGGG
rnacentral:rRNA from 1 species